ACCAAUCACAGCGGGCAGGGCGGGAUAUUCUAAUGAGCAGGGAACACCUCAAUGUUCAGCAAUGCGAGGGGCGUGAGGGGAAGACUCAAAAUUGAGAUACCCAAAUAUUGUCCGACCGCAGUAACAGAGACGCGUGUUAGGGAAAACGCUCAAACUAAAUGGGAAUUGUCUCUUUUGAACGUGAUAAACGUCCACAGCUAUAACAGAAUCAGGCUGACGCAGAUCAUAUUGAAAGAUUGAUUGCUUUUGUUCUGCUGGGAAGGGUGAGGAGCAUCCUGCUGGACCUCGGGGUUCCUCUGAAGAUGGAAGAAGAGCGCAGUCGCAAUAAAGAGCGUCUGGAGGCCAGUUUGACGUGGCUGUGUGAGCUGGAGAUCCUGAAGCAGCGGCAGGAGAGCCUGGUCCUCGGUGCCCUGUCCCUCGGGGACUCCGUGCCGGGAUGCCCCGCUUGGGGUGAUGUGGGUCCGGCCCGCAGCAGCAGAGAGCAGGAGCACAUCACUUUAAGACGACAGCUGAACAAACUCCAGGGCGCCCCCAGCCUGCUAAUGCUGGCACUGCAACAGCAGCUCAGUGAGUUGAGGUUGGAUCCAGGACUCACAUGUGAGCAGAAUACAGAGGAGGAUUUGGACAGUCCCAGCGCUUCAAGCUCAGGGUUUUAUGAGCAAAUUGAAAGUCUGUCUCCUCCACUGCGUUCCUGUUCCUCCCCAAACCUCAGUGUGUCCUGUCACAGGCCCAGAUCUAUGGAUGCCUACAUGCUGGACUGGGAGGGUUAUAUGGAGCCCACAGUACAUGUCCCCAUGCCCCGCUCAUUUUCUGCCCCGUACCCCCCACUGGAGGGUAUUGCGGAGGGAAUAGAGGAGGAAGAAGAAGAUGAAGAAAGUCCUCAGUGGGUUACAGAUCAGAUAGCUGAUGGAAGCCUGACUCCAGAGAUGAGCCUCACUUCUGAUGCUGAGGCAGAUCCUGCUGUGAAGAUAGAAGAUGGCCCAACGGAAGAAGACAUCCAGCAGGCAAUGCGUGUGGAGACGUACAUCCUGGGACUCUUGCAGCGAAGGCAUCUCAGAUCUACAGCAGAACUCAGAUCUGAUCCCGAUCAGUGGCAUGACUUACACACAUACCCACCAAGUUACCCACAGUUUGAGUGGCAGGAAUGGGUAACUCUCUCUGAGGUAGAGAAUGACCGUGAAUCCCAAGAUGGAUAUUACAUCAACCUUCCCAGUGCCCAAGCUGGACCAACUUCCCUAAGCAGUGAAGAGCCAGAAUCCUCCUUGGAAAUUGAUCAGUAUGGAGUCGAAGAAGUCCACACCAGCAGCAACGACUCUCCUAGGCAUCCACCGGUUUACAUCGAACGCCGUCCCACAAUGACAGACACCAUGAAACCCCAUAUUCACACCUGCUGCAAUCACACCUGCGUACCUACGUUGUCAGCUGCUGAGUCCCAUGAGCAACACCAGCCCACUCCAUCCCAAAAGUGGGCUCUUCUUUGGUCCCUAGCCAGAAGGAGUCCAGAGGAAAGGUGGACAACUCAAGGAGAUAGCCAAACGAAGUCGACCACCCGCUCUCGGUCAGAAGACAAUUGCGUAUCUCAAGGGUGGACCGCCCAACCAGAGCACAAAUAUUAUACUGUGGGACGGGACAUGGGCAAGCAUCAUAGCGACGAACUGUAUCCAUCUAAUCAGCGGCUGUGGUGCUCCUCGGCAGACCUCAGUCAAGAAGAAGAUGACGGGAUAUUCAGAGAAGACGUUAAUGAUUUCAAACUAAAUCAGUUACCUGCCAAACGCACCGUUCAAUUUGUGGAGCAGGACCUGAGGGUGCAAGAGGCCGCUACUGCACCCACCGAUGGGUCCAACUCCAGUCUGAGUGAGACUUUCUCUCCAGGAAACAGUUCGGUGUCCAGUGACUCAGAUGAGAGCGGAGGGCUGGUCUGGCCUCAGCAACUGCCCCCUCGCUUGACACCGUCCCCUUCUUCUUCUCAGAAUCCCUCCAAUGCCGUGGUCAAGAUUAAAGCCUCACAUGCGCUCAAAAAGAAGAUUAUGCGAUUUCGUUCAGGCUCCCUCAAACUCAUGACCACGGUCUGAGUCUGGCCAUGAACAUCUCUGCCCAUUUAUCCUUUAAAAUUCAUUUGAGAGCUUUAUGUAAUACUCUUACAUUAUAUGUGGUGUACUGAAUACUGAUUUCGGGUCCAAGCCUGUACUCCAUUUCAAAUGAGAAUACUGUCCCAACAGUUAUUUAUGAGUACUCAUUUAUAGCACAUAACUCACAGUGUACAGUCUCUGGCCUCACAAAGUUAUGGAUAACAAUAUUUUAUUUAUUUAGAAAAAAUGUGUGAGGUUAGGAUCAUGUUUUUUUUUAGUAGUUCUACAGCAAACUGUGGGUGUAUAUCAGCACUGUUUGUUGCUUGCUUUUGGGAUCUGAUAGAGCAUUUAGACAGGAAACUGUGACGUGAUGUCAGACUUAAACCAGAUAUAUACACUUGUUUUUAAUUUCAUUUUAAGAAAAAAAAAUUCUUUUUUUUUGCAGCAUCUUGAUUUCCUUAUUUUUACCUCUGGGAUUAUAGUAUCUUUCUUCUUGUUAAUAAAAUAUUUGAUGAGAUGCAAGGACAAGAUACAAAUCAAACCCACUAAGCACACCAAACCCAUUACAAUAUUAUAUGAUUACAUGAAUUAGUUUGUACAAAAAAAUGAAGAUUUUGGCAUCAUUUACUUACCCUCGUGUCAUUUCAAACCUAUAUGACUUUAUUUUGUGGAGCACAAAAGGAUCACAUAGUAUUUAGUCCAUACAACAAAGUCAAUGGCCACCAAAACUGUUUGAUCACCAACAUUAUUUAAAAUAUUUGUUCUGCAUGUGAAUGACAUGAAGGUGAGUAAAUGACAGAAUUUAUAGUUUUGGGUGAACUAUCCCUUUAAGUAUGACUGUGUAUGUUUAUAAAUCCCUUUCUUCAGCUUUAAGUUCUAAGGCAUGCUCAUAAAUCUUAUAUUUUUAACAAUACUGCUAUAUAUUGUAGCUUUCCCUGCUAAAUAAAGCCAUUUUAAGAAGAGGGAGGUAAACAAGAUCAGGAAAGGACCUCGAGCCAGGGCUUGAACUGUGAAGAGUGUGGCUCGCAAUGACGUUUUAACACUAUGUUCAUAAUGAUAACAUCAUGCAGUCCGAAAUGUCUGGGACUUUCCACAAGCAAACAGGAAUUACUAGGAACUCAGAGCAAUCUGCAGCAUGAAGAGAAAUUGAUUCUCAUUAGCUUAGCAUUUUAAAAAGGCCAUUUUCAAGACUUACACACAUGACAGGAUGUUCCUGGAGUGCUAAUGGAGGCAUCUUUAUCAGUACUACGUACCACUUUGCCUGCCAUGUCCCAGGUGUUGUUUCUAGUUUGCACAUACCUUAUCCAUUCAUAAGAAUGAAGUCAGCUUGAUGAAUAUUUUGUAGCAUGUUUGUUAAAAUGCAUUUGUAGUGUACUGAAAUUUUUCAACAUUUAUAGUAAUUGGUUAGUAUUUAUACUGUAUGAAUUUGAUGUCACAUAGCUUCUUUACUGGCGCCACCUAGUGCAUUGGAGGACUUGGGAAAUGUCAUUUUCUUGCUGCUACACAGACAAACUCCUUUACCUGUGCUGUACAGUGGAAAUAGAUUCCAGUGUGGAGUGUGUUAAAAUAUGCCAUUCCUGAAAAUAAUUAUUCACCUUUUCUGAUUUCAUGCUCACAGUGUAUUUUAAAGAUUUUCAUGUGGUCUUUGAAAAUGUUCCUGCACAUUGCAUGUUGUAAAUAAACAUAUUCA